rnacentral:rRNA from 1 species
AGAGUUUGAUCCUGGCUCAGGACGAACGCUGGCGGCGUGCUUAACACAUGCAAGUCGAACGAUGAUGCCCUUUGGGGUGGAUUAGUGGCGAACGGGUGAGUAACACGUGGGUGACCUGCCCUGCACUUUGGGAUAAGCCUGGGAAACUGGGUCUAAUACCGGAUAGGACCUUGGGAUGCAUGUUCUGGGGUGGAAAGCUU